GUAGGGAAUCUUCCACAAUGGACGCAAGUCUGAUGGAGCAACGCCGCGUGAGUGAAGAAGGUCUUCGGAUCGUAAAACUCUGUUGUUAGAGAAGAACACGAGUGAGAGUAACUGUUCAUUCGAUGACGGUAUCUAACCAGCAAGUCACGGCUAACUACGUGCCAGCAGCCGCGGUAAUACGUAGGUGGCAAGCGUUGUCCGGAUUUAUUGGGCGUAAAGGGAACGCAGGCGGUCUUUUAAGUCUGAUGUGAAAGCCUUCGGCUUAACCGGAGUAGUGCAUUGGAAACUGGAAGACUUGAGUGCAGAAGAGGAGAGUGGAACUCCAUGUGUAGCGGUGAAAUGCGUAGAUAUAUGGAAGAACACCAGUGGCGAAAGCGGCUCUCUGGUCUGUAACUGACGCUGAGGUUCGAAAGCGUGGGUAGCAAACAGGA
rnacentral:rRNA from 1 species